rnacentral:miRNA from 1 species
AUCUUCAAACAAAAGUACUGAG